GGCAUUCUGGCCGAGUGGUUAAGGCGAAGCACUCGAAUCAAUUGUUUCUUGUUAUGCUUUGGGCUCUGCCCGCGCAGGUUCGAAUCCUGCGGAUGUCG
rfam:Nadsonia fulvescens var. elongata DSM 6958 unplaced genomic scaffold NADFTscaffold_5, whole genome shotgun sequence.